CUAGACUUUAACCUUCAAAAUGUUUCCAACCUCUCUUUCGGAGCAGCGAAGAAAUAGUAACGAGUUGCGGAUAACAUCACCACCGAAAUACGACUCCAAGAAAUCUGACAAGCUUUUUAUGAAGACUUUGCCUCAUUCCAGAAGAGGAAAAGGGAAUCAAUGGCUCGGAUUGGUCGAGUGUACCCGCUUCUCAACGUGACUUCAUCUUAGGGUUUCAAGGCGAUUCCACGUGCCCUUUUGUUGUUGAGAUGGUACUAUGGAGAUACGCUUGAGGAAGACGACAAGGAAGAGCAGAGCACUCUGCGUCCCUUGCUGCUCUUUCGCGAAUUCGCGUUUGUUGGAGAGGAGUUGUACGCAG
rnacentral:misc_RNA from 1 species